rnacentral:lncRNA from 1 species
GCAGUUGCUUCCAUGUGAAAACAUGAGUUCCUUGUUAUAUCACCAUACUAUUUAAUUUAAUGCACCUAUAUACUUGGUAAAAGGUGGAAGGCUCGUCCUUUCUAGCCUGGUGUUUUGUUCCACCUUUGCCCCCUUAGUUUCGGCUACCGGUGUUAUGUUCCAUAAACGAGCGCUCCUAACACGAUCGGGGUUGUUAUAGGGAACCCCUUGAUAAUUCGUUUUAGAUUAAAGCUGGUCUGGCAAGGCCCAACAUUGGUUUUACAUUUUCCCAACAUAAUAAUUUGAUAAUACUGAAAUGCAUAUGGAGUUAGCGCUACCCGAGGAGUAAUUCUACAUAAUACAGGAGGGGCCAGUGCUGAUGGUGUUGGUCCCAAACGGUCUGCAUGCGGGGUCACCACGAGGAAACUCGAGGUUUGGCACCCGUAGCUAAUUCCAUCCGUCAUGUCCUGAGAACGAGAUAUGCGGCUCCUAUUGGGAUCGUCGACACGCCGGGCGGCCUUGCUGGAUUAGUUUUACCUUUGACGAGAUAUCUUGUGCAUCGGGAUUCCGGUGAUGCUUUGGGUAAUCUCAGAGUUGAGGUUUUCCACUAGGGAAUCCGACGAGAUCGCGAGCUUCAUGAUCGAGGAUUUCUAUGCGGCUUGUGGUAAUUUGUGAUGGACUAGUUGGAGCACCCCUGCAGGGUUAAAUCUUUCGGAAAGCCGUGCCCGCAGUUAUGUGGCAACAUGGAAACUUUGUUUAACACUGGUUCUAGAUAACUUGAAGUUAACAUAAUUAAAAUAUGCCAACUGUGUGCGUAACCGUGAUUGUUUCUUUCGUGAGUUCUUUCUCCGAUCGAGGACACGGUGGGGUUAUGUCUGACGUAGGUAGGUGUUCAGGAUCAUUCUUUCGAUCAUCUGUAGUUCACGUCCGCUAUGCGUAGAUCUUCCCCCUCUUAUUUCUGGUACUCGUAAGUUUAGCCACCAAAUAUAUGCUUAGCCGCUGCAGCAACCUCACCACUUUACCAUACCUCA